GGGCCGAUAGAUCAGACUGGUAGAUCGCCUGAUUUGCAUUCAGGAGGCCGCGGAUUCAAAUUCCGCUCGGUCCACCA
rnacentral:tRNA from 1 species